rnacentral:rRNA from 1 species
AUUUAUCACCGGCUAAAACUUUGACUAUCUGCUAGGGUACUACGAACACACGUUUAAAACUCAAAGGAUUUGGCGGCUUUCCAUCUGUCUAGGGGAAUAUGUGCCUUAAUCCGAUAAUCCGCGUCUUAUCUUGCUAAGCUUUGUAAUUCAGCAGGUGUAUUGCCGUUGUCUGCUUGUUAUUGAGUAAAGAAAAACAGGCUCAUUGAGGGGAAAGACUAGUCUCUCCCGUUCUAGAAUUCAGGUCGAAAUACCGUCUAUGGUUUAGGGAGCAGGUAUUACAGUUUCCAUUUGAAAUUACGGAGUUUCCUCUGAAACCGGAAAUGAAGGUGAACUUAGGGGUAAGGGGGUAAUACUUUGUCCCCCUGAUACUGUUAUGGAUUGUGCACAAACUGCCCGUCGCUCUCGGCAUUAGUUGAGAU